rnacentral:rRNA from 1 species
GUGCCAGCAGCCGCGGUAAUACGUAGGUGGCAAGCGUUGUCCGGAAUUAUUGGGCGUAAAGCGCGCGCAGGCGGUCCUUUAAGUCUGAUGUGAAAGCCCACGGCUCAACCGUGGAGGGUCAUUGGAAACUGGGGGACUUGAGUGCAGAAGAGGAAAGCGGAAUUCCACGUGUAGCGGUGAAAUGCGUAGAGAUGUGGAGGAACACCAGUGGCGAAGGCGGCUUUCUGGUCUGUAACUGACGCUGAGGCGCGAAAGCGUGGGGAGCAAACAGGAUUAGAUACCUGGUAGUCC